rnacentral:lncRNA from 1 species
GCGCAGGGAACACAAGUCUGCGUGUCAAGCUCUGGAGCUCAUGAAGCACACACUUGGAGGGGACAGAGAACUGAGAUGGUCUCAACUCGGGGAAGAGGAGAUCCCAGGUCUCACCCAGACUUCAGUGGAAGGUGUGUGCUCAGUGGCAUUGCACAGGAUGAAGAGUUCUUGGAGGUCGAGCAUGACAUUUGAUUCUUCAAGGCGUGGAAAAGGAACGCUAACGGGCAUCGCCAGCAUUUCGUGAGUGGUUACUGCAGCUGGCCUGGAGCUCCUCGGUUUGCACAUGUUAGUCAUCUCAGUGAAUCCCUGUCACACCUCAGGAGAGAGCCACCAUUGGUUAUCUCCACUCUAUCUGUGAAGAAGGAGUCUGCCCGAGAUCACCCCCACCACCAGUGCGCCGGGGCAUCUGUCUGCGGCACAGCACAGCAUCCCUCUCCUGCCCUCCAGAUGUCCUUGACUCCCACCUUCAAAAGCAAGUUGACAUCCUCAUUCAAGAGCAAGGGCCAGCUUGGGUCCAUAUUCCUUCUGGAAACUUCCACAGAUGACCCAGCUUGCAUGGCCGCACUUCUCUGAAUGUCAUACACCUGUCUACUCCAGAGGAGGCAACUCUAAUGGGACCUAUGACAUCCAUCAUCAUGGACAGUUGUUAACCACUGAAUUAUUAUUUAACUCCUUGUCUCUGUGACGCUUUUUUCUCCACCCAGGCUGUUUCUUGGGGAGACUGUGUAUUAUGAGUCUUUGUUUUCCUGUAGCCCCCAGCACAUGUCUCUCUCCAUAUGUGAGACAAUCAAUGUUACUUGAAUAAAUGAAUAAGAGAAUGAA